rnacentral:rRNA from 1 species
GCUCUGCCCUCGCGGGGGCUUUGUAUACUGGGGUGGGGAGCUUGAAAGAAGAAAAUGAGAGUGGACUUCCACGUGUAGCGUGGAAAUGCGUAUAGAUGAGGAGGAACGCCAAUGGCGACUGCGACUCUCUGGUCUGUAACUGACGCUGAGGCGCGAAAGCGUGGGGAGCAAACAGGAUUAUAUACCCUGGUAGUCCACGCCGAAAACGAUGAGUGCUAAGUGUUAGGGGUUUCGAUGCCCGUAGUGCCGAAGUUAACACAUUAAGCAGUCCGCCUGGGGAGUACGGACGCAAGGCUGAAACUCAAAGGAAUUGACGGCCACCCGCACAAGCUGUGGAUCAUGUGCUUUAAUUCGAAGCAACGCGAAGAACCUUACCAUGUCUUGACAUCCUUUGACCACCCAAGAGAUUGGGCUUCCCCUUCGGGGGCAGAGUGACAGGUGGUGCAUGGUUGUCGUCAGCUCGUGUCGUGAAAUGUUGGGUUAAGUCCCGCAACUAGCGCUACCCUUGAUCUUAGUUGCCAGCAUUUAAUUGGACACUCUAAAGUGACUGCCGGAGACAGACCGAUAAGAACGUGUGGAUGACGUCUUAUCAUCAUGCCCCUUAUGACCUGAGCUACACACGUGCUACAAUGGAUGAGAACAAAG